UGCCUCCACUUUCUAUCUCACUCUGAGCUCAGGGAUCAACUGCAGGUGUUCAGGAGACAGAAUGAUGUCUCUGCCUCAUCUUCUCUGGCUGCUGGUGCUCUGGACUCAGGAUUCCUAUGGCGCUGUUGUACUGACACAGUCUCCAGCCUCCCUGUCCGCAUCUCCAGGAGACAGAGUCACCAUGAACUGCAAGGCCAGUGAGAGUAUCACGUAUAGUGAUGGUGAUGACCUCUUAUACUGGUACCAGCAGAAGCCUGGCCAAGCCCCCAGGCUCCUCAUCUACUGGGCCACCAAUCUGGCAUCUGGAGUCCCUGCCCGGUUCAGUGGCAGUAGGUCUGGGACAGAUUUCACUCUCACCAUCAGUAACAUGGAGGCUGAGGAUGCUGCAGUCUAUUACUGUCAGCAGAGCUAUAGUUAUCCUCCCACAGUGAUAUAUUCUCGAACAAAAACCUACCAAGGCUCAGGCCUGGUGAUCAGGGAGGCUUCAGUACCACAGAUACUUCCUCUUCCCCAGAACCUGCUGUGGAGGUUACGCACAUGUGGCCUAUCUGCCUCUCUUAGGCAUUCACUGAGUGCUUCUAGGCUGUCCAGUGUUCCCUGA